UUCAGACCAGUUGUCUGCAGAGGCUUUCUGCCUAUUUUGAGAAAUGUUUGGUCCCUGGCAUGAAUGUGGCACAUUUUAACUAGGUGUGCUGUAGUCUGCUCAUGAAAUGAGACCUGUCACCACUGCUGCCACCAGAACUGAGGCUUUACAAAACUUCCAGACCAGGAGAUGUGGUGUUGGCAAGGAUUUUGGCUGGUCUUCUGGGGGAGGGUACCUGCUGCACUGGGACUGAGGCAAGCAUGACUGGGAAGCAUGGUGCUUCUGGAGCACGGGGAUCUGGGGGAGCAGGGCUUGAAUUAAGCAAGUUAGGUAGUAAGUGUUGAUGCUGCACUGGUUCCUGCAGGUGGCCCUGUGCUUAUGCUGAGGGGCAGAGGAGGGAAAUGGUGCCUUCCAUUUCCUUUGUUCUUAGGAGAGUCUCUCUAUGAAGGCUGCCUCUCUGGGACAUGCUUCAAGAUAAGCAGCUAACACCCCACUGUGUGCCCUAGGUGCUCUUCAGAUCACUGUUUCCAUGCCGUAUGUCCAUGGGCUGUUUGCCCUGCCUUCUCUCCAAGAGCUCUGCUAGUGUCUUCCUAGUUCUUCUGGAGCCAAGCACACAGACAUUUAAAAACUUCAGGCUUUAAGCCCUACUGGUUACAAGAACUCAUGAAAUUCAGGCCCUCUUACUUUCCAAGCCAUUUGCAACAGGGAUUUGUUUUUUCAUUAUGUUCCCCUGUGUUUUAGUUUGUCUCUCGCUACUAUCCACAACCAUGGCUCUCUCCCCACCGCAGUGGCCAUGAUUGAUUUCUCUCCCAAACUGCAUUUCUGCAUUUCCUACCUUCUGUGAUAUGGCCUCUUCUCUACCUUUAGUUUGGGAGUUUGUUCUGCCUAUCUUCAGAUUGAUUUCUGGGGUAUUUAUAAUGAUCUGAUGGUUAUCUAGUUGUAUUUGUGGGCUGAGGUGAGCCUAGUAUCCUCCUACUUUCCUGCUUUCCUCCCUCUUCAAGAUGGGUUUGGUUAUUAUAAUAUUCCUGAAUCAUGUAUUCAUUAGAGACAUUUUCUACGGUGAAUUCAAUAAUGCCAAUAGCCAAUACCUACUUUAAGAAAUCAACAUUCAAAUUAAUUUUCCAUUGUCAAUAUUCUUCGGAUACACUCACAGAAAGCUGAAGAGAGUCCUACAAUUCAGGAUUUGAAUGGGAGUUGUUGUGGCAGAGUUAGACAUAGUAGUGGAUCCCAAGAUUGUUUUAAUAUCUGCUUUGCCCCCUAAACUGUAUGUGAUUUUAGACUGUCCACUGUAUCUCCCUGGACUUCUGUUUCCUCAAUUACAAUAGAAUGCAGCUGGAAAAAAUUCAUUCAGAAGUAUGUAUCGAGAAUCUCCCACACAGUAAGCUAUGGGAUAUAUUUGCAAACCAGGUAGGCAUGGUACCUGUCCAAAAGAAACUCAUAAAACAAAUAUGUGUCCAGUAUAGAUGAGAGAUAACAUAAGAUGGGAAUGAUGAGCUAAGGAGAUGAGUUUUCUGAACUCAUGAGCCCUGUUCAUAUCAUAUUGAAUUUUCUGACAAUGUGUAAACUCAAUAGCAUCCUCCUAAUUCUGUGCUCUAGGGUUUGUGCCUAUGCAUAAGUAGAUGCCUCUCCCUUUUUUUUUUUUCAUUUUGCUUUUUCCUGCUUAUCCUGAGACUUGACUUAGGAGUUACUUCACAUGACCAGGUCUCUCCGGGACAGGAUCUUUCCUUUGUACAUCUUUAGCCCUUGUUUUUGAAUUUUAUCUUGGCACCAUAUUACGGAAUCUACUUAAUCAUCUGCCAUCCCAUAUAUAUAUAUAAAAUUCUUAGAGUCAUUAAAAAAAUUUCAGUUAUAUUUAAAACUUCUGUAUAGUGGACUCAAUGCAGUGAAGGCAGUAAUUAUUGAUGACUAAUUAUGUCAGUAUUUUAUACCUCUCAGAUAUAGAAUUAAAAUUAUUCUAUAUUGUGGUAGUAACACUGAUUUAGUUAUAUAAGGUAACAUUCAUUUACUUAUAUAAGCAGAAAUGUCUCUGUAACAAAAAUUCAAAUAUGAUGACUUUCAGUUUGACAAUCCAUUUUUAUUUCAUUCACAUAGCCUUCUCUGACCUUCCCAGGCCACUCUGACUUUGAACUCUGAGUCCUGGCUGAAUCUCUUACUGUUAAUUUGACCAUUCUCAUAGCCUGCUUUUUCUUUCCUUUUAAUUUGUGUAUGAUCCUUACUGAUGCUACUAUAAGCUUCCCAAAGGAGUAUAGUUUGGUGGAUUGUUAAGAAAUGUACAGUACUAAUCCAUAAAACACUAAUUGGUCUGUUGGCUAGAUGCAGUCAGUCAAGGAGGCAAUAUACCAACCUGUGGUAUGUAAUCAGUGAACUUUGGGAAAGAAUAGACACUCUAGUUUGGUUCAAUUGAGACAGCCAUUUGCCAGUUACUGCUUCACUUGUUAAAUAUUCACAUAUUUGAGUGAUCACAGAGAGAAUGGUGAGAGCUAUACCAUAGAGGAGCAAUGGAGCAGCCUUUUCCAACCAUGAUUUGCACCCAUGGGAUUUUAAAAUAUUCAGAUACCCAGAUCCUGUCCCUAGAGAAUCUGACUUGGGAGGUCUAUGAGGGCUACAGGAUCACAGUGCUUAAAACUCUCUACACUUAGUAAUUGAAAGAAGUUAAGGUUGUGAAUCUCUGUAGUAAACUUCGGAGACAUAUUUUCCUCUAGAACUUUGUGAUUCCCUCAAGAACUGUGAAAAUGUUACUGCUUUUGAAAAGUAACCCUGAGUGCCUCAACUGUCUUAGUUGCUAGGAAUAUUUGUUGAUUUUAAGCAUGUUGGGGUGAGCUAAAUAAAGGGUUUUAGUGAGCACAGAAACCACGAGUUAAUUAAAAUCAACUAUUAAGUUGAAGCAGAAAUACCAGUAGUCUGCUGACUUGUUGGCUGUUGACAGACUGGAGCACAGGGUGUUGAGUCAGAUCAUAUCCUACAUGUUGCACCAAUAGGGGAUAAAUGAGUCAAUUUUUAAAAACUGUGAAAACAGACAUUUUAAAUGUAUUCACAAACUUUCUUAGAAGGUUUGGAAAACAAGAACACUGUGUGGUCUAGAGAAAAAGGACCUUGGACCUCCUCUGAGGGCUGUUGCUAACCACACAUGUGACCUUGGGCCUAUUAUUUGACCUCCUGAGGUCAGUUUUCUUAUCUGUAAAAUGCGUGGGCUAUGUUAGUUAUUCUCCAAGUCUCCUCCCAACUUAAAGACCUAUAAUUUAAUGUUAUCCUUGCUUCCCCCCGACCCAAUUACUCUGUUGUCCUAUUUUUCCCUGAAUCCUAUGAAUCAAUCAUUUAUGUUGGUUCACCAGUGUUUCUUAGUGUAAACUAAAACAGGAAUCUAGUUAACUCAUUUUUUGUUUAACCACUUGGCAUUUGAUUAUUGAUAUUUAUGAAAGAGAAGUCUGAAUGACCCAAAAUAACAGAACAUUCAGUUCAUUUGACACAUACUUUUAAUUUUUGUGAAGAAUAACACACACACAGGUGUAAAAGUUGUACCUAUGCAGUUUGGUGAUUUUUUCCAACGUGAACACACCUAUGUAACCAGCACUCACAACAAUAAACAGAACAUUAUUGGUGCCCAAGUGCUACCCUGUCAUGCUCCCAGUUCCUAUCUCCCAUUCCCUUAAGAGUAAACCACUAUCCAGAAGUGUAAAACUACCGAUUAGUUUGUUCCUACUUUACUGUUUAUUUAUAUCUGUCUCCUUUUGAUCAACAUUGUUUUGAAAUUCAUUCAGACAGUAAGAUACAUAUGGACACUGUUCAUACCCACUCUGUAGGGUAAACCGUUGUAUGCAAAUAUAACAGUUUAAUGUUGAUUAGCGUUUGGAUAGUUUCCAGUCUGGGGGUCUUACAAAUAAUGCUGCUCUGACAUAAGUCUUUUGAUAACAUAUUCCUAGAGCUGAAUUGUUGGGUUGUUUUAUAUAACACACUUCUCUGAAUGUUUCGUAUGUAAAUGGCCUAUUAUUUGGUGCUGGGGUCUCAAAUACAUUCUCACCCUCAAGGGGCCAAACCAUUGCUUCUUGGAUUAGAAAUGCAGUAAGUACCCAUGUAUGUAUAUUUUAGCUACAGAUAAACUUCCUGUUUUAGCCUGCUAAGGGUAAUGUUGAAGCACAUUUCUGUUCAUUGAACAAAAACCCAUAGUGGCAGAGGCAGAGACAUCCUAUUAUACAACAUAGUAACAACAGGCGCUACAGUGUCACAAUGAGUUUGAAGAAUGCCCUUUUAAAAGAAAAAAAAACAAAAACAGGAAAGAAAAACAUGUUCUAAUAAUCCGUGUGUAUUCAUUUAAAGUCAUCUGGGGAGUAUUAGGCACAGUGGGACUGUGCUUUGUUUUGCUUUGUUUUUAGUUUGAUGGAGGGCUCAGGCAAUGCACUUAGGACCUGGGACAAGGGCCUCCCACAUAUCAGUCCCUUAAAUUGAUCCUGAGAUUUGGAAGUCAUUGUGAGAAGCAAUGAGCAAUCUCCCAGGCCAAGGAGGCUCCCACUCAGCCAAAGAUAUUUGGAUGAUUUGCAAGACUUCCUUGGAGGGUCAGCUCAGAGGAAACUCUAUUUAUCCGAACUGUUCUAUUGGGAGAAGUGGUAGAGAUGUGUUGAAGAAAUCCUAGCACCACACAGAGACUUUCCUCAUGACAAUUAGCAGGAUGCCCGACCACCAAUGAAAGAUUUUUUCAUAAAGAGAUUUUCUCACCACUGAGUUACAAAGGAUUUACUUUUUAUGCUCAGAUCUUGAAUCAAAUGGCAUUUGCUAUGGAUUAUGGUAUUCAGAUGGAUACUGAGCUUGGAGCAUUCAACCCAGUUUUCAGCCUGAAAUUGCACCUGUCAUUCAUCAUGGUUCACAAGCAAAAGCUAGCUCAACACAAAAGCUACCAUACAUUAUUGUCCACCCUGUUUUAUCUCUCCUUAUGGUGGAAAAGAUGUCUCUUUGUCCUGACCAGCAAUUAGAAGACAGAGGAUUUAGAGAACAAGGUAAAUUAAACCAGGGUCAUCAUAGUAGUAAUGAAAUCCUCUGUGUGUUAGAGGUCCACAGAACCAACUAUGGUUUUCAUUAAAUUGGGUUCUAAGAUAAUCUACUGAGGGACACUUUCCCAUAUUUUUCCCUCUGGAAAAUAUGCCUAUGUAAGUACUGUAUUUCCCUAAAAUAAUGGGUUCUCCUCUGUGAUUGUGGGUUUAUGAGUGGGAAGACCAAGAUAAAACAUAAAAAAUAAGUUUGACUAGGUGAGUAAAAACCAUAUGGGUGGUAAGAAAAGAAGCAAACUCUAAAUUUCUAGAUUCUAUGUAUGCUCUUCCAGUCCCCUCACUGUGAGGUAUUGGGUAAGUCACCUGAGUGCACUGUACCAUAGUGUCCGUGAAGUCCCCAUAUCAUCUUUACUUCCACAGGGGCAUUGCUUCUUGAACUUUAACAUACACAUGGAUCACCCCAGGAUCUUGUUAAAAUAAAAUCUGAUACAGUAAGAUGAUAGUGAAACUUUACUUCCUAUGUUGAGUCAUAGUGAAGAGAAACCAAGAUCAUAUAGGGACUCUGCAAGAGGAUAUGGAUGCAGAUAUGCAGGGCAUCUGCUGAGUCUAGACCAUAGUCCUAGAUAAACAGUUUGACGGCUGUGAAAAGAGAGGCAUUGUGUAAUGGAGAUCCAUUUGGAUAAGUGACAAAAACUAAGAAGAUCCAUUAUUAUGGGUCAGGUUAGACUAAGAGAGGUCCCAGGCAAUGGAAAUAAUUUAUUAAAGUAUGAAGGCAGUGAUGCAAGGUGGGCAGAGGUGCGGGGUACAGGGGAUCAAUGCUAAGAUUCCAAGUAAUUACUGCAUUCAGAGCCAGGCCCAGCUAU